rnacentral:tRNA from 1 species
CGCCGGCCUGUCACGCCGGAGGCCGCGGGUUCAAGUCCCGUCACUCGCGCCA